CACCCCUGGCAAUGGGCGAAGAGACACCUCGUUCGUGGUGCUGCCCUUAUAUCAGUCAGGGGCAGAGCAGAUGUGCAGUCCUUUGUUCAUCCUAGCUUGAUGCCUGUAUUGGUGGCCAGAGCUGUUUCAUGCCUAGGGCACAAAC
ensembl:snoRNA